UGGGGAAUUUUGGACAAUGGGCGCAAGCCUGAUCCAGCCAUGCCGCGUGCGGGAAGAAGGCCUUCGGGUUGUAAACCGCUUUUGUCAGGGAAGAAAUCUUCUGAGUUAAUACCUCGGGAGGAUGACGGUACCUGAAGAAUAAGCACCGGCUAACUACGUGCCAGCAGCCGCGGUAAUACGUAGGGUGCAAGCGUUAAUCGGAAUUACUGGGCGUAAAGCGUGCGCAGGCGGUUUUGUAAGACAGAGGUGAAAUCCCCGGGCUCAACCUGGGAACUGCCUUUGUGACUGCAAGGCUUGAGUGCGGCAGAGGGGGAUGGAAUUCCGCGUGUAGCAGUGAAAUGCGUAGAUAUGCGGAGGAACACCGAUGGCGAAGGCAAUCCCCUGGGCCUGCACUGACGCUCAUGCACGAAAGCGUGGGGAGCAAACAGGAUUAGAUAGCCCUGGUAGUCCACGCCCUAAACGAUGUCAACUGGUUGUUGGGAAGGUUCCUUCUCAGUAACGUAGCUAACGCNUGAAGUUGACCGCCUGGGGAGUACGGCCGCAAGGUUGAAAC
rnacentral:rRNA from 1 species